GAUUAACGCUGGCGGCGUGCAUAACACAUGCAAGUCGAACGAUGAAACUCAUUAGAUUUCUUCGGAAUGACAAUGAAUGGAUUAGUGGCGAACGGGUGAGUAACGCGUGAGUAACCUGCCUUACACAAGGGGAUAGCCUCUGGAAACGGAGAAUAAUACCCUAUGAAACCAGACAAUCGCAUGAUAAUCUGGUCAAAAUGUUUAGUGGUGUAAGAUGGACUUGCGUCUGAUUAGCUAGUUGGUGAGAUAAAAGCUCACCAAGGCAACGAUCAGUAGCCGGCUUGAGAGAGUGUACGGCCACAUUGGGACUGAGACACGGCCCAGACUCCUACGGGAGGCAGCAGUGGGGAAUUUUGCACAAUGGGGGAAACCCUGAUGCAGCGACGCCGCGUGAUUUAGAAGGCCUUCGGGUUGUAAAAAUCUUUUGUAUAGGAAGAAAAUGACAGUACUAUACGAAUAAGGUCCGGCUAAUUACGUG
rnacentral:rRNA from 1 species